UAGGGAAUCUUCCACAAUGGACGCAAGUCUGAUGGAGCAACGCCGCGUGAGUGAAGAAGGUCUUCGGAUCGUAAAACUCUGUUGUUAGAGAAGAACACGAGUGAGAGUAACUGUUCAUUCGAUGACGGUAUCUAACCAGCAAGUCACGGCUAACUACGUGCCAGCAGCCGCGGUAAUACGUAGGUGGCAAGCGUUGUCCGGAUUUAUUGGGCGUAAAGGGAACGCAGUCGGUCUUUUAAGUCUGAUGUGAAAGCCUUCGGCUUAACCGGAGUAGUGCAUUGGAAACUGGAAGACUUGAGUGCAGAAGAGGAGAGUGGAACUCCAUGUGUAGCGGUGAAAUGCGUAGAUAUAUGGAAGAACACCAGUGGCGAAAGCGGCUCUCUGGUCUGUAACUGACGCUGAGGUUCGAAAGCGUGGGUAGCAAACAGGAUUAGAUACCCUGGUAGUCCACGCCGUAAACGAUGAAUGCUAGGUGUUGGAGGGUUUCCGCCCUUCAGUGCCGCAGCUAACGCAAUAAGCAUUCCGCCUGGGGAGUACGACCGCAAGGUUG
rnacentral:rRNA from 1 species